rnacentral:rRNA from 1 species
UACGUAGGGGGCAAGCGUUGUCCGGAUUUACUGGGCGUAAAGAGCGUGUAGGCGGCCACGCAGGUCCGUUGUGAAAACUGGAGGCUCAACCUCCAGCUGUCGACGGAAACCGUGUGACUAGAGUCCGGUAGGGGAGUGUGGAAUUCCCGGUGUAGCGGUGAAAUGCGCAGAUAUCGGGAGGAACACCAGUAGCGAAGGCGACACUCUGGGCCGGUACUGACGCUGAGGAGCGAAAGCGUGGGGAGCAAACAGG